UUUAAUGAUGAGUUUUAUCCUGGCUUGGAAUGAACGCUAUAGGCAUGCUUAACACAUGCAAGUUGUAUGUAAGGUGGUAAGUUAAAUAGCGAACGAGUGAGUAUAAAUUAAUAACUUUAUAAUUGGAAUUCAAAUAAAUAUUAUAAAUAUGCUAUAAAUCAAAAAAAUAAAUUAUCCAAAUAUAUUUAUUAUUAUGAUUAGUUAGUUGGUAAAAUAAUAGUUUAACAAGACAAUAAUCAUUAAUUGGUUCCAUAGGAUGAUCAGUCACAUUGAGAUUUAGAUAUGGCUCAAACCCUUUUAAAGGGGCAGCAGUGGGGUAUAUUCCGCAAUAAACGAUAGUUUGACGGAGCAAUGUCUAGUAAGGGUAUAAAGCUUAAGAGUUGUAAACCUUUUUUACCAAAAAACAAAUAUUGAUAAUAUUUGUUUUGAGAAUAAGCAUUGGCUAAUUCUGUGCCAGCAGCCGCGGUAAUACAGAAGAUGCAAGCGUUAUUUUGAAUAAUUGGGCGUAAAGUGUAUAUAGUUGGCUUUUUAUAAAUUCUAUAUCAAAUUCUAUAAAUCUAUUUUGUAUAAAUAUAUUUGGAUAUUAUAAAGCUAGAGUAUAUUAAAAAUAAGAGGAAUUUUUAGUUUUAGUAGUGAAAUACAUAUAAAUUAAAAAGAACACCAAUAGCAAAAGCAUCUUAUUUAUAAUAAACUGACAAUUAAAAAACGAAAGCUAAGGUAUCAAAUGGGAUUAGAUACCCCAGUAGUCUUAGCUGUAAACUAUAAAUACUAAUUAUUGUAUAAUUAUAUGCAGUAGUAUAAUUAACAUGUUAAGUAUUUCGCCUGAGGAGUACAUUUGCAAGAAUAAAACUCAAAGGAAUUGACGGGGAUUCAUACAAGCAGUGGAGUAUGUGGUUUAAUUCGAUGCAAAGCGAAAACCUUACCAGGAUUUACAUGUUAUGAAUUCUUUUAAAAGAAAGAGGAUAAUUAUAUAUAAAAUUUUUAAAUUUUAACAUAGGUGGUGCAUGGCUGUCUUCAGUUCGUGCUAUGAAGUGUUGGGUUAAUUCCUUUAACGAACGUAACCCUUUUUGUUUUUUUACUAUUAAUAAAAAAAUAAAAGUACUUAUAAUAUAUAUAUUGGUUUUAAGCUAUGUAAAAAAAGGAUAACGUCAAGUCAUUAUGCCCUAUAUAUUCUGGGCUACACACAUACUACAAUGGUUAGGACAAAAAAAAUUUAAAAUAUAAUAAUAAUUUUAAAACCUAACCUUAGUUCGGAUUAAAGAUUGUAACUUAUCUUUAUGAAGUUGGAAUUGCUAGUAAUCAUCGGUUAUUAUACGAUGGUGAAUUUGUUUUGAAUCUUGUACAUACUGCCCGUCACAUUUUGAAAUUUAAUUAUAUUUUAAGUCAUUAAUAAUUUUAUGGUUUUGAUAAAAAUUAAUUUUAAUAAUCGAAAUGAAGUCGUAACAAGGUAGCUGUACUGGAAGGUGUGGCUGAAUUACCUC
rnacentral:rRNA from 1 species